rnacentral:rRNA from 1 species
UACUCGAGUGGCGAACGGGUGAGUACCACGUGGGUGAUCUGCCCUGCACUUCGGGAUAAGCUUGGGAAACUGGGUCUAAUACCGGAUAGGAGCCAUCUUUAGUGUGGUGGUUGGAAAGUUUUUUCGGUGUAGGAUGAGCUCGCGGCCUAUCAGCUUGUUGGUGGGGUAAUGGCCUACCAAGGCGGCGACGGGUAGCCGGCCUGAGAGGGUGUACGGCCACAUUGGGACUGAGAUACGGCCCAG